rnacentral:rRNA from 1 species
UCAAGUAAUUAAGUGCAUGUGGUGGAUGCCUUGGCAGUCAGAGGCGAUGAAAGACGUGAUAGCCUGCGAAAAGCUCCGGGGAGGCGGCAAAUAUCCUUUGAUCCGGAGAUGUCUGAAUGGGGGAACCCACCUACUUUAAGGUAGGUAUUGCAACAUGAAUACAUAGUGUUGCAAGGCGAACGAGGGGAAGUGAAACAUCUCAGUACCCUUAGGAAAAGAAAUCAAUUGAGAUUCCCUCAGUAGCGGCGAGCGAACGGGGAUCAGCCCAUUAAGUUAUGUGUGUUUUAGUGGAACGCUCUGGGAAGUGCGAACGUAGAGGGUGAUAUUCCCGUACACGAAAGGGCACACAUAAUGAUGACGAGUAGGGCGAGGCACGUGAAACCUUGUCUGAAUAUGGGGGGACCAUCCUCCAAGGCUAAAUACUCCUGACUGACCGAUAGUGAACCAGUACCGUGAGGGAAAGGCGAAAAGAACCCCUGUGAGGGGAGUGAAAUAGAUCCUGAAACCGCAUGCAUACAAGCAGUGGGAGCACCUUCGUGGUGUGACUGCGUACCUUUUGUAUAAUGGGUCAGCGACUUAUAUUCAGUAGCGAGGUUAACCGUAUAGGGGAGCCGUAGAGAAAUCGAGUCUUAAUAGGGCGUUUAGUUGCUGGGUAUAGACCCGAAACCAGGCGAUCUAUCCAUGAGCAGGUUGAAGGUUGGGUAACACUAACUGGAGGACCGAACCCACUGUCGUUGAAAAGCCAGGGGAUGACUUGUGGAUAGGGGUGAAAGGCUAAUCAAGCCUGGUGAUAGCUGGUUCUCCCCGAAAGCUAUUUAGGUAGCGCCUCGGACGAAUACCAUAGGGGGUAGAGCACUGUUUCGGCUAGGGGGUCAUCCCGACUUACCAAACCGAUGCAAACUCCGAAUACCUAUGAGUACUAUCCGGGAGACAGACUGCGGGUGCUAACGUCCGUAGUCAAGAGGAAAACAAUCCAGACCGCCAGCUAAGGCCCCAAAAUCAUAGUUAAGUGGGAAACGAUGUGGGAAGGCAUAGACAGCUAGGAGGUUGGCUUAGAAGCAGCCACCCUUUAAAGAAAGCGUAAUAGCUCACUAGUCGAGUCGGCCUGCGCGGAAGAUGUAACGGGGCUAAAACUAUGUGCCGAAGCUGCGGAUGUAUACUUUGUAUACGUGGUAGGGGAGCGUUCUGUAAGCCGAUGAAGGUGUGUUGAGAAGCAUGCUGGAGGUAUCAGAAGUGCGAAUGCUGACGUGAGUAACGACAAAACGGGUGAAAAACCCGUUCGCCGAAAGACCAAGGGUUCCAGUCCAACGUUAAUCGGGGCUGGGUGAGUCGACCCCUAAGGCGAGGCCGAAAGGCGUAGUCGAUGGGAAAAUGGUUAAUAUUCCAUUACUUCUGUGUAAUGCGAUGAGAGGACGGAGAAGGCUAAAUCAGCCUGGCGUUGGUUGUCCAGGUGAAAGGAUGUAGGCAUGUAUCUUAGGCAAAUCCGGGGUACUCUAUGCUGAGAUCUGAUAGCAAGCUGUACUUGUACAGCGAAGUGGUUGAUGCCAUGCUUCCAGGAAAAGUCUCUAAGCUUCAGUUACACAGGAAUCGUACCCGAAACCGACACAGGUGGUCAGGUCGAGUAGACCAAGGCGCUUGAGAGAACUCUGCUGAAGGAACUAGGCAAAAUGGUACCGUAACUUCGGGAGAAGGUACGCUGUUGUUGGUGAUGGAACUCGCUUCCUGAGCUGACGACAGCCGCAGAAACCAGGCCGCUGCAACUGUUUAUUAAAAACAUAGCACUCUGCAAACACGAAAGUGGACGUAUAGGGUGUGAUGCCUGCCCGGUGCUGGAAGGUUAAUUGAUGGGGUUAGCGUAAGCGAAGCUCUUGAUCGAAGCCCCAGUAAACGGCGGCCGUAACUAUAACGGUCCUAAGGUAGCGAAAUUCCUUGUCGGGUAAGUUCCGACCUGCACGAAUGGCAUAAUGAUGGCGGCGCUGUCUCCAGCAGAGGCUCAGUGAAAUCGAAAUCGCUGUGAAGAUGCAGUGUACCCGCGGCUAGACGGAAAGACCCCGUGAACCUUUACUGCAGCUUGACACUGAACUUUGACCUUACUUGUGUAGGAUAGGUGGGAGGCUUUGAAGCUGGAACGCUAGUUCCAGUGGAGCCGUCCUUGAAAUACCACCCUGGUAAUGUUGAGGUUCUAACUCUGUCCCGUGAUCCGGGACGAGGACCGUGUCUGGUGGGUAGUUUGACUGGGGCGGUCUCCUCCUAAAGAGUAACGGAGGAGUACGAAGGUGCGCUCAGCGUGGUCGGAAAUCACGCGUAGAGUAUAAAGGCAAAAGCGCGCUUAACUGCGAGACCCACAAGUCGAGCAGGUACGAAAGUAGGUCUUAGUGAUCCGGUGGUUCUGUAUGGAAGGGCCAUCGCUCAACGGAUAAAAGGUACUCUGGGGAUAACAGGCUGAUACCGCCCAAGAGUUCAUAUCGACGGCGGGGUUUGGCACCUCGAUGUCGGCUCAUCUCAUCCUGGGGCUGAAGCAGGUCCCAAGGGUAUGGCUGUUCGCCAUUUAAAGAGGUACGCGAGCUGGGUUUAGAACGUCGUGAGACAGUUCGGUCCCUAUCUACCGUGGGCGCUGGAAAUUUGAGAGGAUCUGCUCCUAGUACGAGAGGACCAGAGUGGACGAACCUCUGGUGUACCGGUUGUGACGCCAGUCGCAUCGCCGGGUAGCUAUGUUCGGAAGGGAUAACCGCUGAAAGCAUCUAAGCGGGAAGCCUACCUCAAGAUAAGAUUUCCCUAGGACUUUAUGUCCUCUAAAGAGCCGUUCGAGACUAGGACGUUGAUAGGUUGGAUGUGGAAGCAUAGUGAUAUGUGAAGCUGACCAAUACUAAUUGCUCGUGAGGCUUGACUAU